rnacentral:rRNA from 1 species
CGGUGAAGCCCAGCUUGCUGGGUGGAUCAGUGGCGAACGGGUGAGUAACACGUGAGCAACCUGCCCUCCACUUUGGGAUAAGCCUUGGAAACGGGGUCUAAUACCGGAUAUGAGCUCGCAUCGCAUGGUGUGGGUUGGAAAGUUUUUCGGUGGGGGAUGGGCUCGCGGCCUAUCAGCUUGUUGGUGGGGUGAUGGCCUACCAAGGCGUCGACGGGUAGCCGGCCUGAGAGGGCGACCGGCCACACUGGGACUGAGACACGGCCCAGACUCCUACGGGAGGCAGCAGUGGGGAAUAUUGCACAAUGGGCGCAAGCCUGAUGCAGCGACGCCGCGUGAGGGAUGACGGCCUUCGGGUUGUAAACCUCUUUCAGCAGGGAAGAAGCGCAAGUGACGGUACCUGCAGAAGAAGCGCCGGCUAACUACGCGCCAGCAGCCGCGGUAAUACGUAGGGCGCAAGCGUUGUCCGGAAUUAUUGGGCGUAAAGAGCUCGUAGGCGGUCUGUCGCGUCUGGUGUGAAAUCCCGAGGCUCAACCUCGGGCUUGCAUCGGGUACGGGCAGACUAGAGUGCGGUAGGGGAGACUGGAAUUCCUGGUGUAGCGGUGGAAUGCGCAGAUAUCAGGAGGAACACCGAUGGCGAAGGCAGGUCUCUGGGCCGCAACUGACGCUGAGGAGCGAAAGCAUGGGGAGCGAACAGGAUUAGAUACCCUGGUAGUCCAUGCCGUAAACGUUGGGCACUAGGUGUGGGGCUCAUUCCACGAGUUCCGUGCCGCAGCUAACGCAUUAAGUGCCCCGCCUGGGGAGUACGGCCGCAAGGCUAAAACUCAAAGGAAUUGACGGGGGCCCGCACAAGCGGCGGAGCAUGCGGAUUAAUUCGAUGCAACGCGAAGAACCUUACCAAGGCUUGACAUGUACGAGAAAGCCCCCGAGACGGGGUUCUCUUUGGACACUCGUACACAGGUGGUGCAUGGUUGUCGUCAGCUCGUGUCGUGAGAUGUUGGGUUAAGUCCCGCAACGAGCGCAACCCUCGUCCUAUGUUGCCAGCGGGUUAUGCCGGGGACUCAUGGGAGACUGCCGGGGUCAACUCGGAGGAAGGUGGGGAUGACGUCAAAUCAUCAUGCCCCUUAUGUCUUGGGCUUCACGCAUGCUACAAUGGCCGGUACAGAGGGCUGCGAUACCGUAAGGUGGAGCGAAUCCCAAAAAGCCGGU